AGAUGCGAUCAUACCAGCACUAAAGCACCGGAUCCCAUCAGAACUCUGAAGUUAAGCAUGCUUGGGCGAGAGUAGUACUAGGAUGGGUGACCUCCUAGGAAGUCCUCGUGUUGCAUUCC
rnacentral:rRNA from 1 species